rnacentral:tRNA from 1 species
GCAUUGGUGGCUUAGUGGUAAAAUUCUCACCCUCCAUGUGGGAGACCAGGGUUUGAUUCCCAGUCAAGGCA